rnacentral:rRNA from 1 species
GUGGGGAAUCUUGCGCAAUGGGCGAAAGCCUGACGCAGCCAUGCCGCGUGAAUGAUGAAGGUCUUAGGAUUGUAAAAUUCUUUCACCGGGGACGAUAAUGACGGUACCCGGAGAAGAAGCCCCGGCUACUUCGUGCCAGCAGCCGCGGUAAUACGAAGGGGGCUAGCGUUGCUCGGAAUUACUGGGCGUAAAGGGCGCGUAGGCGGACAGUUUAGUCAGAGGUGAAAGCCCAGGGCUCAACCUUGGAAUUGCCUUUGAUACUGGCUGUCUUGAGUACGGGAGAGGUGAGUGGAACUCGGAGUGUAGAGGUGAAAUUCGUAGAUAUUCGGAAGAACACCAGUGGCGAAGGCGACUCACUGGCCCGUUACUGACGCUGAGGCGCGAAAGCGUGGGGAGCAAACAGGAUUAGAAACCCGGGUAGUCC